CCAGACGGCCGGGCGGUCGCGGCGGGGCUUCGGUCCCGUCGAGGAAAGUCCGGGCUCCACGGUGAAAAGGCGGCGGAUAACCUCCGCCCGGGGCGACCCGAGGGAAAGCGCCACAGAAAGCAAACCGCCCUCUUCGGAGGGUAAGGGUGAAAGGGUGGGGUAAGAGCCCACCGCGUUCCUGGCGACAGGGACGGCAUGGCAAGCCCCGCCUGGAGCAAGACCGAAUAGGGGCGUCGCGCGGGCUUCGGUUCGCAGGCUUCACCGGCCCAGACGCCCGGGUAGGUCGCGAGAACCGCUCAGUAAUGGGCGGUCCAGAGGAAUGACCGUCGCCGCCUUCGGGCGGGACAGAACCCGGCUUACAGGCCGUCUGGCAUU
rnacentral:RNase_P_RNA from 1 species